rnacentral:rRNA from 1 species
GACAGACGCUGGCGGCGUGCUUAACACAUGCAAGUCGAACGGAGCGAUUUAUUUCGGUAAAUCGCUUAGUGGCAAACGGGUGAGUAACGCGUAGGCAACCUGCCCUCAGGAUGGGGACAACGGCUCGAAAGAGCCGCUAAUACCGAAUGACGUACCUUUUUCACAUGGAAGAGAUACUAAAGAUGGGUCAAACCAUCGCCUGAGGAUGGGCCUGCGUCUGAUUAGCCAGUUGGUGAGGUAACGGCUCACCAAAGCAACGAUCAGUAGCCGGUCUGAGAGGAUGAACGGCCACAAUGGGACUGAGACACGGCCCAUACUCCUACGGGAGGCAGCAGUGGGGAAUCUUCCGCAAUGGGCGCAAGCCUGACGGAGCAACGCCGCGUGAGUGAAGAAGGUCUUCGGAUCGUAAAGCUCUGUUGUCGGGGACGAAAGGAAAGGGGAGGCAAUGCCCCUUUUAAGACGGUACCCGACGAGGAAGCCACGGCUAACUACGUGCCAGCAGCCGCGGUAAUACGUAGGCGGCAAGCGUUGUCCGGAAUUAUUGGGCGUAAAGGGAGCGCAGGUGGGACGGUAAGUCUGUCUUAAAAGGCAAGGGCUCAGACCCCUGUAAGGGACAGAAACUAUCGUUCUUGAGUGCCGGAGAGGAAAGCGGAAUUCCCAGUGUAGCGGUGAAAUGCGUAGAUAUUGGGAAGAACACCAGUGGCGAAGGCGGCUUUCUGGACGGCAACUGACACUGAGGCUCGAAAGCCAGGGUAGCGAACGGGAUUAGAUACCCCGGUAGUCCUGGCCGUAAACGAUGGAUACUAGGUGUAGGGGGUAUCGACCCCUCCUGUGCCGGAGUUAACGCAAUAAGUAUCCCGCCUGGGGAGUAAUGUCGCAAGACUGAAACUCAAAGGAAUUGACGGGGGCCCGCACAAGCGGUGGAGUAUGUGGUUUAAUACGACGCAACGCGAAGAACCUUACCAUGGCUGACAUUGAGUGAAAGGGCAGAGAUGUCCCUAUCUCGGAUACGCAGGACAGUGUGCAUGCUGUCGUCAGCUGAUGUCUGAGAUGUCCGGUUAGUCCGCCACGAGCCCAGCCCUAUAUUCUG